CGAACGGGUGAGUAACGCGUGAGGAACCUGCCUCAAAGAGGGGGACAACAGUUGGAAACGACUGCUAAUACCGCAUAAGCCCACGGCUCGGCAUCGAGCAGAGGGAAAAGGAGCAAUCCGCUUUGAGAUGGCCUCGCGUCCGAUUAGCUAGUUGGUGAGGUAACGGCCCACCAAGGCGACGAUCGGUAGCCGGACUGGGAGGUUGAACGGCCACAUUGGGACUGAGACACGGCCCAA
rnacentral:rRNA from 1 species